AUCUACCUGAAAAACUGCCAUAGGGGAGAGCGGGGUAAGAUGAGACAUUUUUCAUAUUUCGGAUCACUACAUCAAGGCAAUCAUAGUUUUGUCCGUAACUAGCGUAUCUGCAUGUAUUUCAAGAUGUUGUGCAUCUGGCAGUCUGGAGGAAGACUGGGACUUCCUGUCCCCUAAGAAAAUCAAGGAUCCUGAAGCCAAGAAGCCAGAGGACUGGGAUGAUCGUGCAAAGAUUGACGAAUGUAAGCAUGUUUUACACUUUUGGACAUUAUUUCAAAAUUGGUUGUUUAUCUAAACAAAUCAUUUUGCCCCCAUUAAACUCGAUGUCAAUCAAGAUUGGACUACAGUUGAAGGAAAAGAACUUGGACUUCAUGGUGAACAUUUUAAUUACACUUGGAAUUCACAGAUUUUAGUACCUCAAGAUGAAACCCCACUUCAAUGGAUGGAUAAACGAACUUAGAAUAAACAAAAAAUUUUUGAACUACAUGAAAAACAAAAACGCCCUAAAACUGUUUUCUUUACUCGGACAAGGGGAGACCAAUCCUUCCAGGCUGUUAUCCCCA